UUUCUACUCCCUCCGUCCGAAAAUACUUGUCAUCAAAAUGGAUAAAAAUAGAUGUAUCUAAGACUAAAAUACGUCUAGUUACAUUUCCUUUUAUCCCUUUUGAUGACAAGUAUUUCCGGACGGAGGGAGUAUUUG
rfam:Triticum aestivum genome assembly, contig: Triticum_aestivum_CS42_TGACv1_scaffold_229596_3B